GAUGAACGCUGGCGGCGUGCCUAACACAUGCAAGUCGAACGAACCUGAUCUUCGGAAAAGGUUAGUGGCGCACGGGUGAGUAACACGUAGGUGACCUGCCCUGGAGUGGGGGAUAACUUCUCGAAAGAGAGGCUAAUACCGCAUACGCUCGGCCAUUCAGUUGGCCGAGUAAAGCUCCGGCACUCCAGGAGGGGCCUGCGUCCGAUUAGCUAGUUGGUGAGGUAAUGGCUCACCAAGGCGAUGAUCGGUAGCUGGUCUGAGAGGACGAUCAGCCACACUGGCACUGACACACGGGCCAGACUCCUACGGGAGGCAGCAGUGAGGAAUAUUGGUCAAUGGGCGAAAGCCUGAACCAGCAACGCCGCGUGAGGGAUGAAGGCCUUCGGGUCGUAAAACUCUGUCCUCAAGGAAGAUAAUGACGGUACUUGAGGAGGAAGCCCCGGCUAACUACGUGCCAGCAGCCGCCGUAAAAC
rnacentral:rRNA from 1 species